rnacentral:lncRNA from 1 species
GGGCUAUUUUGGAGUUUAGCUAGUAAUUAAGCAACGAGAUAGUUUUUUUUUUUUUCUUCUCUUAGUUGGCAUCUACUGAGGUUGAUUUAUGCUAAUUUGGAGUUUAGCUAAUAUUUUGGCAGUUUGCUAACGUUUUUGGCUAAUUUGGCACCUGCUAAGAUUUUUAGGCUAAUUUUGAGUUUAGCUUCUGCUUUACCAAAAUGCUAACAUUUUUUUUGACAAAAUUAGUUUACUGACGACUUCUAGGCUAUUUUGGAGUUUAGCUAGUAAUUAAGCAACGAGAUCGUUUUUUUUUCUUCUCUUAGUUGGCAUCUACUGAGGUUAAUUUAUGCUAAUUUGGAGUUUAGCUAAUAUUUUUGGCAGUUUGCUAACGUUUUUGGCUAAUUUAGCACCUGCUUAGAUUUUUAGACUAAUUUUGAGUUUAGCUUCUGUUUUAGCAACAUGCUAACAUUAUUUUUGACAAAAUUAGUUUACUGACGACUUCUAGGCUAUUUUGGAGUUUAGCUAGUAUUUAAGCAAUGAGCUCACUUUUUUGCUCAACACUAAAUAUUUUGCUAAAUUGUCACGUAUUAGGGAUUUUUAGGCCAUUUUACUAAAAAUGUUUCCAGAAAUUUAGGUCACUUCAGCAUUCUUUCAUAGUUCUUUAAAGAAAUUGCCAGUUUUUGCAUUUUCAGUAAAUGCCUUCAACAAUUAAAGUAAAUAGCCUCACCAUUUUCAUCAAGAAGCUUCAGCAACUAUUUUCAGCAAAAGCAUUCCCACUAACAUUAUCGCAGGUGAUGCAUCUUUUCUGAUUCUUAAAUGAGUUGGACCUGCAGCUAAUUUGUCUCACUUCAGCAUGCUCUGCUCCUUCUCCUCCUCCUUCUUCUGUCGCUCCAUGACCGAGAGGAUGAUGCGCCGCUCCUCCUCGGUCAGGUGGCUCAGGUCCGGCAGGUCUGACCCGGUCCCGGUCCCGGUCCCGGUCCAGCCCCGGCGGGCGGCGCAGGUCCGGCCGCUCGAGACAUCCUCGGAACCGCUGGAAGAGACGGACGCGGGCGGUCAGACCGUCACACCGCUGCUGAGGCGGGAUGAUGGUGCGCGUGCGGCGCCGCGCGAGCCCCGCGGAAGGAGCUCCAUCUGCGCCUCCGCCCGCCAUCAUAUCACCCACCGGUUUAUCCCCUCAUCCAUCCAUCAUCUAUGCAUCAUCCACACCCUCCCUCUCUCUCACCGACAGGCGCAGCGGUGUCCUCUUGCCUGUUUAUUCUGCAGUCAUGUCGCCUCCUCCGGUGUUCGGCGGCGGCGGCGGCGGCUCCGGUCGGCUCCGCGUCCCGGCGCUCAUCCUUCCACCCCCCCCACGCGCCCCGCCUCCGCUGUGGCGCUACCCCGCCGCGGGUCGUCGAGUCGUGUCGGCGGCGGUGGUGGUUCGUGGGAGAGCGGCGGAGACGGAGGAGAAAAUAAAUAAAUCCUCCAUAGAAAAAGGGGCGGGGCCACGCGGUGACGGCGUUACGUACGACAAAGAUCAGCAGGUCGUUGACGGGUGGGCGAUGGCGGUGGA